rnacentral:tRNA from 1 species
UCCUUGGUGGCUCAGAUGGUAAAGAACCUGCCUGCAAUGUGGGAGACCCAGGUUCAAUUCCUGGGUUGGGAA